GGGGAUGUAGCUCAGAGGUAGAGCGUUCGCUUCGUAUGUGAAAAGCCCGAGGUGCGAAUCCCCGCAUAUCCA